GAUUUAAAAAAAAAAAAAAUCCCACAGUUUUAUUCUUCUCCCCUCCCCCGGCCUCAAGCCAAGAACCAAACCAGCCUACCAAGAAGAUCCGACUGACUGGUAUGGGCCAGUGCCCUCUUUUCACUCACAGUCCUCAGGGGCAACAACUCUCCCCGGUGCAUUAGGUCCUAGAAACCAAAUUAUAGGCUGCCUCAUAAAUAGAGCUUGGCUAUUUAAUCAACUGCCCCUGAGCUGGCAAACAGUCCUGAGUCCUGCACACAAAUGAGGAUUUUUUUACAUGCCAUUACUCUGCCAUUUUCCUUAGAGCUGGGGUGUAAUGGGAAACCUGGAGCCCAGUGAAAAUCUGGAAGCUAGAAUGGAUUUCUCUCCAAAGAAAGCCCUCAUCCCCUUUCUUCAAUGGCUGUGAAAUAUGGAAAGCGCCAAAAAUCUCCUUCCCUACACGUGGGCAAGCUGUUUUGAAAACAGUCACCAUUUUUCUCUAGCAAUAAGGUAAAGUGCACAAAAAUCUAUCCACCUGGGUUGGAGGAGAUAAUGUGGAAUUUCUCUACUUUUUUUUUUUUUUAAUUCACUAGGGUUCUCUUCCACUUUUACUUUUAGAGCCCCACACCACGAUCCCAGGAAAUGUUGGGCUGAGGGAACUUUUUUAGAAACUGGCCCAUCAGCUUUCCCUAGGGGCAGUGGCAACGGGAAAGCGGGGGAGGGGAGGAGCUGGGCACGUGGCUGGCCCGAGCAGCGAGACCCCGGCUGGGGGCAGUGGGUCCUCCCUUCGGUGGAGUUUUUUCCCCCACGGCCCCUGCCUUUUAACCCCACACCCAGGCAGCUCAGGAAUCCCGGCGCAGAUUGGAGAACUAGGACUAGGACAGCGCUACCCUCGCGAAAGCACCUCGGCCAACAGCCUGAUGGCAAAUAUGGACUGAAUCGUUGACAUGGAAACCGGACUAAAGUCUCGCUAGCUCUCCCUCACAGGAGAGUUCUUAUCGCCGUCCCCGACCGCACGGCACUUAGCAAACGCGGACUGGAUUUGAGGCCUGGAGGAUCAGGCGGAGUUUCUGGGCGUAUUAACUCCAGCGGCAGAGCAGCCAAGGAAGGGGGCAGGGCUGCCAGGACAAACCGGCUGAAAAUGGCAGAGGAUGUGCUCCCAUUUUAUCCGGCUGCACAGCGUGCAUGGAUUGGGCCCGAGGACAAGGGAACAACCUAUUAAAAUCCAGAGAGUCAACUGCAAAAUGUGGAACCGAGGCCUGGAGGGUUUGCUAGGAGAGGGAAACGUUUGCAGGGAAGACAGCCCUUCCUUUCUCGCAAUUUGCUUCCCCUAAAUGUCUGAAAUACAAAACUCAACAAACAAACAGAAGAUCGGGCUCGGCUCCUUCCUCCACCCAAUCCUUGUGGGAGAAGUCGUCUUAAGCCCAGGGACCCUAGCGAGGGUUUGCUUAGAUUCCUAACUAAGGCGUGGAGAAUCGCUGGAGCGCCAGGUUGUUGCCCCCACACGUUCCCGCCGCGGAACAGCAGCAGACACCCAGCAGAGCUCUCUCGAGUGCGAACUGGAGCUGCGAGUUUGAGCAAAAGGGCAACUAUGUCAGUUGACGGAAGCCAGAAGCAGAGUUCAAAGCCUGGCGUGGAUUUCCGUCUGGAGCUGUCUGUUCUUAAAGUUUGUAACUCCGUGUUAAGAAACAGCCCCAGCGGAGGCUUUGGGAUCGGUGUGAAAGUCUAGCACUACCAUCUGACAGCGAGCUGCAAAACUUUGGGCUGCAUAUUAAGCGAGGAAAGUGGAUUGAAGCGAGAGUCAAGGCAAUUCAUUAUGUUACCGGCUCCCAUACGGGAGCUGUAAAAUACGAACUGGAUGCACACACGGAGAAAAAUGGAAUGAACUCGGAAUGGCAUUCAACAGCUCUUCGCGGUAAAACUGUGACUGCCAAGGAUCUAGAAUCCCAAAGGAGCAAACCAGGAGGCCUCAAACUUGGUUGGCACACAAUAAAUGCUUUUCUAGAUCUUUUCCCCACUCAUCUCAAACUCUUAAGCAAUUUGGGGUCAUUUAUAUUUCAGAAUAAGGAACACAUUUUGAGAAAUGUUAAUUUCUGAAUGAGACUUUUUUUCCCCAAAGUAGCUGUGAAAAAAAGAGCCUCAGGCAUAAGUCAGCCAGCUUAUUUUGUCUCAAUAUAAAUUAAAAAUUACCCUCACCACCACCUCCACCAAAACUGAAAUAAAAAAUAAAAUAAGUAAAAGUC
rnacentral:lncRNA from 1 species